AUAUGUGAAACACUAAGUAUACCUGUAGAAUAGCCCCAGGAUGUAACGUGACCAGUCCUCCGUAAUACACACCUACACACUUGGUAUUUUCACACGUGAGAGCUCAUAGCAGACGCCAGUAACCAAAAAAGUCCUUGUAUAAGGCAGCUAAGACUAACAGAACUUAUUGGAUGAUGUUAUAACUGAUACAGAAACAGUAAAGCACACUAUGUUCAACACAAGUGACGUAAAGUUAAGACUCGUUGACUUGGUGAUGGAAGAGAAAAAUCUCCAAAUAUCGCCAGCUACCCUCUCAAAAUUAUAUAGUACUCAAGGACCCAAAACGAAACUGUCACUUUUUAACAGACACGCCACCAAUUAAGGAAUUUAAAUGCAUGUGCCCUUAACAUGUACAACCUCCAACAGAAGGACGCCUGUCACUCAGGGACCCAAUUACGAAACUUUCACUUUUUAACAGACACUCGUGUAAUUAAGGCUGCAACUAGGAAAUUCUAUGCAUAUGCCCUUAACAUGUAAGCUUAAACAGAAGGAGGACGUCUGUUAAUCCUGAGGAUGAGCUAUUCCAGGUAUCCACACAUAACUGGGGGCUGCGCGAUAGAGGAUGGAGGACUUGCAUCAUACUCGUAAAUAAAUACAUCGUAUUAUGUUAUACAUGGAAGGUACUGAAGAACACAUCGCAACACAUUGAAGUACACCUCGUAUUAUAAAAUAUUCUAUUUAACCAUAUAACGUUAUCGUACCGACAUACACUACAUUAUACAUCAUACCUCGAAUUUAUAAUAUCGCAAAUGUAACACAAACACGAAUUAUAUUGCACUACUAAACCAUAUGCUGUUCAGAAGGUCGACUUAGUUAAAAUAAAUGUUUAUGCCACAAA